ACUUCUGAAAGUUUACACGAUCAUAAAUAAUGUCUAUCUGCAGAAGUAUAUCCAAACUACUCGCACAUUCGACUGCUGUAAGAAGAAAGAACUGUCAACUCAUUGGAAAAUGCCAUGAUUACCAUUUCAGCUCCAUCUUCUUUGCUCCAAAAAUCAAUCUUCCAAUUUAAUCAACUAGUAGGUAGGUUUAUACUCGUUAACUUAAGAUUGGCAACAAAAAACAGCAGGAAAAAGCAAAGGUAGUCUAACUACCACUUGAGAAAUGAGCUGAUCAAUGUUGAGAAACACAAUCAGGCUAUCAUGAUUAACAGGGAAAAUAAUUAAUCCUUCAAAUCUAAAAAACAAGUAGGUAGGUUUAUACUCAGUAACUUAAGAUUGGCAACAAAACGUUGUAACUGCUA